rnacentral:rRNA from 1 species
AGUGAACGCUGGCGGCGUGCCUAAUACAUGCAAGUCGAACGGAGAUUCAGUAGCUUGCUAUUUAAUCUUAGUGACGCACGGGUGAGUAAUAUAUAGCUAACUUGCCCAUUACUAAGGGACAACAGUUGGAAACGACUGCUAAUACCUUAUACUUCGUAUCUAUAUAAGUAGAUACGGGAAAGUUUUUCGGUAAUGGAUAGGGCUAUAUCGUAUCAGCUAGUUGGUAAGGUAAUGGCUUACCAAGGCUAUGACGCGUAACUGGUCUGAGAGGAUGAUCAGUCACACUGGAACUGAGACACGGUCCAGACUCCUACGGGAGGCAGCAGGAGGGAAUAUUGCUCAAUGGGGGAAACCCUGAAGCAGCAACGCCGCGUGGAGGAUGACACUUUUCGGAGCGUAAACUCCUUUUCUUGGGAAAGAAUUAUGACGGUACCCAAGGAAUAAGCACCGGCUAACUCCGUG